AACGCAGUGCCGGUUAGUGACUGGUGUCCCCGUGCUGGUUGUGAAGUUGGAAAGGACUUAAUGUCCCUGUGCACCUUAUCCUCCACCCUCCUCCCCAGCAUUCAGGAGAAAUCUGACAGAGAAUGGCCUUCGGUGUCCUUCCUGCUCCACCUUCCUCAAGGAAACAUGCAUCCCAACUGAGGAAACGUUCUGUUUGGGUGAAGAAACCCGCUGUGUCACCAUGACUGGCCUCAUGCACCCUGGGAUGUGCUAUGGAGAACACCUGCCACAUCAAGCCUGGGACCCUGGUGCCCUCAGGCUCUCAUUUGCUGACCAUCAAGAAGAUCAGCUGUCUUCCAAGCCCCCAGGCUUCUGGCAAAGCUGAGUGAAGAACUGAGGCCCAUGUGGUGUUUGGUCUCCAUUCCUUCUCAGCUAUAGCUUCCCACGUGUCUAUAAAUUAAACGAAUCAACAGAACAAGGCUGUCUUUGUGCUGUGAUGCAUUUCAGGGAGAUGGGAUGCAAAAAGCAGGGGUCUCAACCCUGUCGAACCCCCUCUUUGGAAUGAGGAGAGGGAAGAUGCUACCUUUUGUUAAGGGAUUACUUCCUGCUGGGUCCCUGUGCUAAGUGUUUUCCACGAGAGAGCUCAUUUCAUAAUCACAACUCUGUGAGGGUGAAAGUAUUGUCCCCAUUUUACAGAGGAACAAACUGAGGCACGGAUUGUGGUGUCACUUGCCUUUGGUCAAACAGUUGGGAGCGUCAGACUCCAGAGUGCAUGAUCACCUCUCCCGGUUAACCUCUUUUUGCCUCAGUUUCAUGUUUGUAAGUGGUGGAUAUUAAUAUUUAUAACCUCACAGAGCUAUUUGAACUGUCAAAUGAAAAAAAACUAAAAAAGGACUUAGUGCAGUGCCUAGCACCUUAAAGGGGGCUCUCCUGGUUGCUCAGAUGGGAAAGAAUCUGCCUAAUAAUGCAGAAGAGGCAGGUUCGAUCCCUGGGUUGGGAUGAUCCCUGGAGGAGGGCAUGGCAGCCCCAGCAUUCUUGCCUGGAGAAUCCCAUGGACAGAGGAGCCUGGCAGGCUGCAGUCCACGGGGUCACAAAGAGUUGAACACAACUGAGUGACUGAGUGAGGCACUAGCACCUUUAAGACAGUGUUGGUUCUGGAGACAAUGUGUCUGGCCAAAUAGCUACUAUCCUAAUAGCUGCCACUUACUUACUUAAUAGCUGAGUAGGCAUUAGUUGCUAAGGUAA
rnacentral:lncRNA from 1 species